CCGUGGGAAAGGUGCAACUGCACCGCAGAUGGAGGAGCCCGCGGCGCAUUAGCUAGUUGGUGGGGUAACGGCUCACCAAGGCGACGAUGCGUAGCCGACCUGAGAGGGUGACCGGCCACACUGGGACUGAGACACGGCCCAGACUCCUACGGGAGGCAGCAGUAGGGAAUCUUCCGCAAUGGGCGCAAGCCUGACGGAGCAACGCCGCGUGAGCGAAGAAGGCCUUCGGGUUGUAAAGCUCAGUCAUUCGGGAAGAGCGGACAGGAGAGGGAAUGCUCCUGUCGAGACGGUACCGGAAGAGGAAGCCCCGGCUAACUACGUG
rnacentral:rRNA from 1 species